rnacentral:rRNA from 1 species
ACGAACGCUGGCGGUGUGCUUAACACAUGCAAGUCGAACGAGCUCUUCGGAGCUAGUGGCGGACGGGUGAGUAAUACAUAGAUAACCUGCCUUAAAGUGGGGGAUAACUAGCCGAAAGGUUAGCUAAUACCGCAUAAUGUAGUUAAUUGUAAUAUUAACUAAGAAAGGAUUUAUUCGCUUAUAGAGGGGUCUAUGGUUGAUUAGCUAGUUGGUGGGGUAAGAGCUCACCAAGGCGACGAUCAAUAGCUGGUCUGAGAGGACGAUCAGCCACACUGGGACUGAGACACGGCCCAGACUUCUACGGAAGGCAGCAGUGGGGAAUUUUCCGCAAUGGGCGAAAGCCUGACGGAGCGGCACCGCGUGGAGGAUGAAAUUUUUCGGAAUGUAAACUCCUUUUGGCAGGAAUGAAACAAAUGACAGUACCUGCAGAAUAAGCAUCGGCUAACUACGUGCCAGCAGCCGCGGUAAUACGUAGGAUGCAAGCGCUGUUCGGAAUUACUGGGCGUAAAGAGUACGUAGGCGGUAAUGAAAGUCUGAUAUUAAAGACUGGGGCUUAACCUCAGGAGUGUAUCGGAAACUUCAUAACUAGAGGACAGUAGAGGAAAUUGGAAUUCCCAGUGUAGCGGUGAAAUGCGUAGAUAUUGGGAGGAACACCAGUGGCGAAAGCGAAUUUCUGGGCUGUUACUGACGCUGAGGUACGAAAGUGUGGGGAGCAAACAGGAUUAGAUACCCUGGUAGUCCACACGGUAAACGAUGGAUACUAGGUGUAACCGGCUUCGACCCCGGUUGUGCCGCAGCUAACGCAUUAAGUAUCCCGCCUGGGGAGUAUGGCCGCAAGGUUGAACUCAAGGAAUUGACGGGGGCCCGCACAGCGUGAGAUGUGUU